rnacentral:rRNA from 1 species
UACGUAGGGGGCAAGCGUUGUCCGGAUUUAUUGGGCGUAAAGAGCGUGUAGGCGGUUUGGUAGGUCCGCUGUGAAAACUCGAGCUCAACCUCGAGACGCCGGUGGAAACCAUCAGACUAGAGUCCGGAAGAGGAGAGUGGAAUUCCUGGUGUAGCGGUGAAAUGCGCAGAUAUCAGGAAGAACACCCGUGGCGAAGGCGGCUCUCUGGGACGGUACUGACGCUGAGACGCGAAAGCGUGGGGAGCAAACAGG